rnacentral:rRNA from 1 species
UACGUAGGCAGCAAGCGUUGUUCGGAAUUACUGGGCGUAAAGAGUGUGUAGGCGGUUUUCUAAGUUUGGUGUGAAAUCUCCCGGCUUAACUGGGAGGGUGCGCCGAAAACUGGAAGGCUUGAGUGCCGGAGAGGAUAGCGGAGUUCCCGGUGUAGCGGUGAAAUGCGUAGAUAUCGGGAGGAACACCUGUGGUGUAGACGGCUAUCUGGACGGCGACUGACGCUGAGACACGAAAGCGUGGGUAGCAAACAGG